rnacentral:tRNA from 1 species
GGAAGUGUGGCAGAGCGGCUAAUUGCAGUUGUUUGCUAAACAACCGGGCUAAUAACCCACACAGGUUCAAAUCCUGUCACUUCCG